AGCGAACGCUGGCGGCAGGCUUAACACAUGCAAGUCGAACGGGCGUAGCAAUACGUCAGUGGCAGACGGGUGAGUAACGCGUGGGAACGUACCUUUUGGUUCGGAACAACCCAGGGAAACUUGGGCGUAAUACCGGAUAAGCCCUUACGGGAAAGGAUUUAUCGCCGAAAGAUCGGCCCGCGUCUGAUUAGCUAGUUGGUGUGGUAACGGCGCACCAAGGCGACGAUCAGUAGCUGGUCUGAGAGGAUGAUCAGCCACAUUGGGACUGAGACACGGCCCAAACUCCUACGGGAGGCAGCAGUGGGGAAGUAUUGGACAAUGGGCGCAAGCCUGAUCCAGCCAUGCCGCGUGAGUGAUGAA
rnacentral:rRNA from 1 species